GAUCUAGCGGCGGACGGGUGAGUAACGCGUGGGAACGUGCCCUUUGUUUCGGAAUAGCCCCGGGAAACUGGGAGUAAUACCGGAUGAGCCCUACGGGGGAAAGAUUUAUCGCCGAAGGAUUAGCCCGCGUUGGAUUAGGUAGUUGGUGGGGUAAUGGCCUACCAAGCCGACGAUCCAUAGCUGGUUUGAGAGGAUGAUCAGCCACACUGGGACUGAGACACGGCCCAGACUCCUACGGGAGGCAGCAGUGGGGAAUCUUAGACAAUGGGGGAAACCCUGAUCCAGCCAUGCCGCGUGUGUGAAGAAGGUCUUCGGAUUGUAAAGCACUUUAAGUUGGGAGGAAGGGUAGUAACUUAAUACGUUGCUAUUUUGACGUUACCGACAGAAUAAGCACCGGCUAACUUCGUGCCAGCAGCCGCGGUAAUACGAAGGGUGCAAGCGUUAAUCGGAAUUACUGGGCGUAAAGCGCGCGUAGGUGGUUCAGUAAGUUGGAUGUGAAAUCCCCGGGCUCAACCUGGGAACUGCAUCCAAAACUGCUGAGCUAGAGUACGGUAGAGGGUGGUGGAAUUUCCUGUGUAGCGGUGAAAUGCGUAGAUAUAGGAAGGGAACACCAGUGGCGAAGGCGACCACCUGGACUGAUACUGACACUGAGGUGCGAAAGCCGUGGGGAGCAAAAAGGAUUAAAUACCCUGGUAGUCCACGCCGUAAACGAUGUCAACUAAGCCGUUGGGAGGUCUUGAAC
rnacentral:rRNA from 1 species